rnacentral:rRNA from 1 species
AACGAACGUUGGCGGCGUGGAUUAGGCAUGCCAGUCGAACGCGAAUCCCUGGGCAACUGGGGAGGAGAGUGGCGAAAGGGGCAGUAAGGCGUGGGUAACCUACCCUCCGGGCCGGGAUAGCUUCGGGAAACUGAAGGUAAUACCGGGCGACGCAGCGAGAUCGCAUGGUCUUGCUGCCAAAGGUCCGCCGCCGGGGGAGGGGCUCACGUGGUAUUAGCUAGACGGCGGGGUAACGGCCCACCGUGGCCAAGAGGCCGGGCAGGUGUGAGAGCACGACCUGGGCCACUGGGGCUCAGACACUGGCCAGACACCUACGGGUGGCUGCAGUGGGGGAUAUUCGGCAAUGGGCGCAAGCCUGACCGAGCGAAGCCGCGUGUGCGAUGAAGGCCUUCGGGUUGUAAAGCACUGUCGAGGGGGAGGAAGCCGCAAGGUUGACCUAUCCCUGGAGGAAGCACGGGCUAAGUUCGUG